CACGUAGGGCGCAAGCGUUGUCCGGAAUUAUUGGGCGUAAAGAGCUCGUAGGCGGUUGGGCAAGUCACGUGUGAAAUCUCCACGCUCAACGUGGAGGCGCCACGUGAGACUGCCCUGACUCGAGUCCGGUAGGGGAGCGUGGAAUUCCCGGUGUAGCGGUGAAAUGCGCAGAGAUUACAUGGAAUACCAAUUGCGAAGGCAGGUUACUACUAAUGGAUUGACGCUGAUGGACGAAAGCGUGGGUAGCGAACAGG
rnacentral:rRNA from 1 species